rnacentral:misc_RNA from 1 species
GAUGAAGAACGCAGCGAAAUGCGAUAAGUGAUGUGAAUUGCAGAAUUCAGUGAAUCAUCGAAUCUUUGAACGCACAUUGCGCCCUCUGGUAUUCCGGGGGGCAUGCCUGUUCGAGCGUCAUUACAACCCUCAAGCUUUGCUUGGUAUUGGACAUUGCCAGUUUCUGGCAGGUCUUAAAAUCAGUGGCGGUGCCAUUUGGCUUCAAGCGUAGUAAUUCUUCUCGCUUUGGAGAUCCAGGUGGUUACUUGCCAAUAACCCCCAAUUUUUUCAGGUUGACCUCGGAUCAGGUAGGGAUACCCGCUGAACUUAAGCAUAUCAAUAAGCGGAGGA